rnacentral:rRNA from 1 species
AGUGAACGCUGGCGGUAGGCCUAACACAUGCAAGUCGAACGGCAGCACAGUAAGAGCUUGCUCUUACGGGUGGCGAGUGGCGGACGGGUGAGGAAUACAUCGGAAUCUACUUUUUCGUGGGGGAUAACGUAGGGAAACUUACGCUAGUACCGCAUACGACCUACGGGUGAAAGCAGGGGAUCUUCGGACCUUGCGCGAUUGAAUGAGCCGAUGUCGGAUUAGCUAGUUGGCGGGGUAAAGGCCCACCAAGGCGACGAUCCGUAGCUGGUCUGAGAGGAUGAUCAGCCACACUGGAACUGAGACACGGUCCAGACUCCUACGGGAGGCAGCAGUGGGGAAUAUUGGACAAUGGGCGCAAGCCUGAUCCAGCCAUACCGCGUGGGUGAAGACGGCCUUCGGGUUGUAAAGCCCUUUUGUUGGGAAAGAAAAGCAGCAGGUUAAUACCCCGCUGUUCUGACGGUACCCAAAGAAUAAGCACCGGCUAACUUCGUG